UAGACUGAUAGAAUAUGUACAAGGCUUACAAAGAAUAAGUCCUGGGAUCGAUUUCUUCGACUAAAAAUUUUUCCGCCAGUACUGGAUUUAAAUCAAUCUUCUAACGUCUCAAUGGAAUUUACCACCAAUACGUAAUAUAUGAUCGCGAAGACAUAUCUUUCAAAAUGUGACGUUUGUUCCAAGAGAGGCUACUCUUCCUACUAAUGCUGUCAUUAACCAGCCUACGUGCUUACAGCUCACGCAUAACUCAUUGCUGGAUUGUGCGUGUAAAAUCACCUUGUGAAAACAUACACUAAUACUUAUACAGUAAAACUGCUGCAUGGAAACAUUUGUUAUGUGGAAAACAUUUUUGUAUUUUUUACUGUCGUAUUUAUAGACAUAUAAUAA
rnacentral:lncRNA from 1 species